GUGGGGAAUUUUGGACAAUGGGCGCAAGCCUGAUCCAGCAAUGCCGCGUGCAGGAAGAAGGCCUUCGGGUUGUAAACUGCUUUUGUACGGAACGAAACGGUCCUGGCUAAUAUCCGGGGCUAAUGACGGUACCGUAAGAAUAAGCACCGGCUAACUACGUGCCAGCAGCCGCGGUAAUACGUAGGGUGCGAGCGUUAAUCGGAAUUACUGGGCGUAAAGCGUGCGCAGGCGGUGCUGUAAGACAGGCGUGAAAUCCCCGGGCUCAACCUGGGAAUUGCGCUUGGGACUGCAGUGCUGGAGUGCGGCAGAGGGGGAUGGAAUUCCGCGUGUAGCAGUGAAAUGCGUAGAUAUGCGGAGGAACACCGAUGGCGAAGGCAAUCCCCUGGGCCUGAACUGACGCUCAUGCACGAAAGCGUGGGGAGCAAACAGGAUUAGAAACCCCGGUAGUCC
rnacentral:rRNA from 1 species